rnacentral:rRNA from 1 species
GACGAACGCUGGCGGCGUGCUUAACACAUGCAAGUCGAACGAAGUGGCGAACGGGUGAGUAACGCGUAAUCAACCUGCCCUUCAGAGGGGGACAACAGUUGGAAACGACUGCUAAUACCGCAUACUGAAGGAGGGGAUUGAGUGUGAUUAGCUAGUUGGGGGGGGAACGGCACACCAAGGCGAAGAGCAGUAGCCGGGCUGCGAGGGUGAACGGCCAAAGUGGGACUGAGAACCGGCCCAGAAUCCUACGGGAGGCAGCAGUGGGGAAGCUUCCGCAAUGGACGAAAGUCUGACGGAGCAACGCCGCGUGGGUGAUGACGGCCCUCGGGUUGUAAAGCUCUGUUAAUCGGGACGCGGUACCGGAAUAGAAAGCCACGGCUAACUACGUGCCAGCAGCCGCGGUAAUUC